UUAAAUAUCAUUAGUUGGAGAGCUCAGGUGAAUUUCCUGUGGUCAGAAUUUUCUGUGUUCUCAUUAGUUAAUUGGGACAUACCCCCAGAUUUGAAAUGGGUAUUGUUUGAGAAAAAAUGGAGAAUUUAUUUUUACUUUAGUUUGUGCUAUAUCUAUAUUGUUUGGAACAGAAUGAUAUUUCAUAGACAGUCAUUUGCAGUAUUUUGGAGUAUGGAAUUUAGUAUAUUCACUUUAUAUGGACCCAUUAAUCAUACAGACAUAUAUUGAUAAUAGAAGAAGAGCAUUGGUUAUAAUGCUAAUGUAAUGCUAUUGAUGUUGUAUACAGCCUGAUUCCACAAAUUGGUUACUUCUACUGUGGCUGUAAAAAGGUUUGUGUUGGAUAACUAUAACAAAAUACAAUGUCAUUCAAACAAUUUUUGUGUAUGCACAACAACAGACUUCAUGGAGAAAACGAGUCGACAACUUCAACCUAAAGCCGCAGCAGAACCAAUAUAUAGCCAAAUGGAUUCCACCGGUAGAAGCCAGCACUAAACAGGAAAUAACUCCAAAAUUUAGAAUUGUAGCAGCACCAUCUAAAUUCUUAGACUCAACUCCAGUUAACACACAAAAGACACCAGAAAAAUCAACCAUAAUUGUACUGACAGAGAAAUAAAGUACGCUGGAGAAGAAAAUAAUAAUAUUUUAUCACAAUAAAUGUUUUCCUGAAUAAAACAAAUUAAAAUCAUUGCUUGUUUUGUCAAAAGUGUGUAGAUAGUGUUGUUGCACUUUUACAUUUUAGAUUUCAAAAUUGUAUAUAUAAUUUAAGUAAGUAAGCCAUUAAUAUAAACAAGAGGAAAUAGAAGAAUCAUGAACGAUAUUGUCCUCGAUCAAAAUCAGUGCUUGAGGUCUAAUAUUUGCAACUGCAUGGUGAACACUCUUCAAAGAUUUGUAUUUUAUUAAACACACUUGAAUUGACAUUGGAAGAUCGUGGAAGGGUUUCAACAUGCCUGUCACUAAGAAAGGUCAACCCACAGCUAAAGCAAAUAUGGUAUUCUGGCCUUGUGGAAUAUGCCGUAAAAAUUGUAAAAUUUAUAAUUUUU